rnacentral:rRNA from 1 species
UACAGAGGGUGCGAGCGUUGUCCGGAAUCACUGGGCGUAAAGGGCGCGUAGGCGGCGCGGUAAGCGUGCGGGGAAAGCCCGGGGCUCAACCCCGGGUCGGCCGUGCGGACUGCCGGGCUGGAGCACUGUAGAGGCAGGUGGAAUUCCGGGUGUAGCGGUGGAAUGCGUAGAGAUCCGGAAGAACACCGGUGGCGAAGGCGGCCUGCUGGGCAGUAGCUGACGCUGAAGCGCGACAGCGUGGGGAGCAAACAGG